CAGUAGCCGCGGGAAUACGUAGGUGGCAAGCGUUGUCCGGAAUUAUUGGGCGUAAAGGGCUCGCAGGCAGUUUCUUAAGUCUGAUGUGAAAGCCCCCGGCUCAACCGGGGAGGGUCAUUGGAAACUGGGAAACUUGAGUGCAGAAGAGGAGAGUGGAAUUCCACGUGUAGCGGUGAAAUGCGUAGAGAUGUGGAGGAACACCAGUGGCGAAGGCGACUCUCUGGUCUGUAACUGACGCUGAGGAGCGAAAGCGUGGGGAGCGAACAGGAUUAGAUACCCCCGUAGUCCCUGUCUCUUAUAC
rnacentral:rRNA from 1 species